CAAGGGGGAGCUAUGGGGCUUGAAGGGAUGCUAUGGGGCACAAGGAUCUAUGGGACACAAGGAGGAGCUGUGGGGCACAGAGAGAUGCUAUGGGGCAGAAGGAGGAGCUAUGGGGCUGUGGGGCACAAGAAGGAUCUAUGGGGCACAAGGAGGAGCUAUGGGGCUUGAAGGGAUGCUAUGGGGCACAAAGAGGAGCUAUGGGGCACAAGGAUCUAUGGGGCACAAGACGAGCUAUGGGGCACAGAGGGAUGUUGUGGGGUGCAAGGAGGAGCUAUGGGGCAGAAAGGGAUGGUAUGGGGCACAAGGGGGACCUAUGGGGCACAGAGCAGAGCUAUGGGGCACAGAGCAGAGCUAUGGGGCAGCCGUGGGGUGACACCAUCUCUCCCCCCACCCCCUCAGAUCUGACCGCGGUCUGUCACGGAAACAAGUGCUGGAAGGUGAGCCGUGGGGCUGGGAAAGAUCUGUGGGGCGGGAUGUGUGGGGCUGGGAUGUGUGGGGCUGGGAAAAAUCUAUGGGGCUGGGAAAAAUGUAUGGGGCUGGGAUGUGUGGGGCUGGGAAAAAUCUAUGGGGCUGGGAAAAAUAUGGGGCUGGGAUGUGUGGGGCUGGGAAAAAUCUAUGGGGCUGGGAUGUGUGGGGCUGGGAAAAAUCUAUGGGGCUGGGAAAAGUCUAUGGGAUGGGAUGUGUGGGGCUGGGAAAAAUGUAUGGGGCUGGGAUGUGUGGGGCUGGGAAAGAUCUAUGGGGCGGGACGUGUGGGGCAGGGAAGAAUCUAUGGGGCGGGAUGUGUGGGGCUGCCCCAUAACCGCCCUCCCAGGGCUGCGCGGCGCCCUGCAGCGGCUGCAGAUGGAUUACGUCGAUGUGGUUUUCAUUGGGCCCCGGCCUGGCCCCGCCCACACCGAGGGUAAGUCCCGCCCACCUCGCUAAGCCCCGCCCAGAUCCCCUUAAGCCCCGCCCACCGGGCGAUGCCCCGCCCCCUGAUUGGGGCGUGAGGGUUGGACCCUCCUUCCUCUUCUCCCUAUUGGUCCACCCUCAAUCAGGCCCCGCCCACUCCCCUAAGCCCCGCCCACUUCCCUAAGCCCCGCCCCGUGGGUGUGGAACCUCCUUUCUCUUCACCCCAUUGGUUCACUCUCCGCAGGCCCCGCCCCCUCAGGCCCCUCCCCAUUGGUUCCCACCCCCUUCCGUCCCUGCCCUUAUUGGUCACGACUACUUUAGGCCCCGCCCCCUUUGAGCCACACACCCCUCAGGCUCCGCCCCCAUUGGUUCCCGCCUCGUUAGGCUCCUCCCCCUCAGGCCCUGCUCCCAUUGGCCAGCACUGCUUUAAGCUCCUCCCCUUAGACCCACGCCCCUCCAAUCUCCACCCCAUUGGCUCCCGUCCCAUUAGGCCCCGCCCCCUCAGAGCGACGCCUCCCCCGUUCCCCGCAUCCCAUUGGCUCCGCCCCGUUCGGCCCCGCCCCCUUAGAGCCGCAUCCCAUUGGCCCCGCCCCCGCUGGACCCCGCCUCCUCGGGCUCCUCCCCCUCAGGCCGCACUCCCAUUGGCCGCCGGAGAUUUCGAUCCCUCCCCCUUUGUGCCGCACCCCCUCAGGCCCCUCCUCCAUUGGUCCUCGCCCCGUUAGGCCCCUCCCCUUUAAGCCCCGCCCUCCCCAAGCCCCGCCCCUCACCUCUCUCUCUUCCCCCCCACAGGGCCCGACCCGACCCUGCGCCUCCUGCGGCUCGAAGGUACUGGGGGCCGCAGCCCCGUGUAGCCCCAUAGCCGCCCCAUAGCUGCCCCAUAGCCGCCCCAUAGCUGCCCCAUAGCCGCCCCAUAGCUGCCCCACAGCUGCCCCGUAGCCGCCCCAUAGCCGCCCCAUAGCUGCCCUAUAGCCGCCCCAUAGCCGCCCCAUAGCCGCCCCAUAGCCAUCCCAUAGG
rnacentral:lncRNA from 1 species